rnacentral:rRNA from 1 species
UACGUAGGGUGCAAGCGUUAAUCGGAAUUACUGGGCGUAAAGCGUGCGCAGGCGGUGAUGUAAGACAGUUGUGAAAUCCCCGGGCUUAACCUGGGAACUGCAUUGGUGACUGCAUUGCUGGAGUAUGGCAGAGGGGGGUGGAAUUCCACGUGUAGCAGUGAAAUGCGUAGAGAUGUGGAGGAACACCGAUGGCGAAGGCAGCCCCCUGGGCCAAUACUGACGCUCAUGCACGAAAGCGUGGGGAGCAAACAGG